UACGGGGGGACCUAAAUCGUGACUUGAUUUUCCCUUUGAUUAGAAGGCGAAACUAGCGUGCUAAGGCUAUCGAGUAGCCACACUCGCUCGUUUCCCUUAUCGGAAGGGGACCCUCAAGCAAAUGGACCCUACAACUAUCAUGAUAUGCAAAAAUCCUAAAAUGAAGGGAAAGGGGGUUCGAGGAGCAUGCCAAGUGAUAAAACUAAGAAAAAUGCAUGAUAUGUGGUGAACAAGCAAAUGAUAUGCUAAUGAGGGGAAAUCUCUAAGGGUCUAGCGUUGGACUAGCCCAUUCUAUGAAUUCCGACUAGCGUUGGACUAGCGGAAAC
rnacentral:lncRNA from 1 species